ACACACACACGCAGCCCCCUCGAUACCCUCCACCGAGCGCCCUGGAUCUCGCCGCCCCGCACGCCUCCUCCCGUCGGUCGACCUACCCAAGGCGCCGCCGCCCCCCUCCCCUCCCCCAAACCAGAGCCUCCGCGCACAUUGCUCUAGCUAGCCCCCGAGCAGAGAGCGGGGCCGCCCCCACUCCGCAUCCCGCGUGCCCCCCGUCGGCGAGCGGCUCCCUUCUCGUCGCCGGUGCCGUGCCCCCCGCCGGCUACACGGGCGCAGAGACUCGCUGCGUGCCCCCGCUCCGCCGUUCGUGCCGCGUGGGUGCCGUGCGCGGCUCGCUGAGGAGUCGUGGUAGCUGAAGGUGCGGGGGAGACACACACGAGGCGGGAUCCGAAUUGGCCAGGAGAGGUGGCGAUCUCCGUCGAGAUCGGAUCCAUGGGCUCCUCCGCUGUCCAGCACGACUCCCUCUCCGCGCCAGGUAACGCACGGCUCCCGUCCUUGGCUGGAUCACGCUAGAGGAAUUGGCUGAUUUUUGCAGUGCCCGCCGUCCGACCUUCGCCGUCCGACCUUCCCUUGUUGUAUACCCGCAUCCUCUACAUUCGUCUACAAGCUUCUCAAUCCCCAGCAACACCCCUGUAUGUGCAGAAUGCUUUUGUUCUUCAGUUUGGGAAGAUCUGAACUUCUGAAGAAACUAUAUUGAGAAACGACACCCACCAUCUUGGCAUUAAUCAAAUCCAGGUGAAAAAAACGAAGUAUUGCAUCAACAGAAAAGCAUACUACAAAGAAGAUAUUAUUGUGAAUGUGAACCUGCGUGCAUUAUAUAGAAAUUCUGGAUGUUACUUCUGUAGUACUCAUCUUACCAUACACGUACAAACACAUGUUACUCUUAUAGUACUCAUCUUCCCAUACAGGUACAGAAUUGAUCCAGAGAAAAAAGUAUGUGAAUACUGGUACAUGCUCCAUUUUGCAUUACUCUUACCGUAGACGACGGAUUGUUCGCUUUCAGGCUUGAUUCUUGGUAUUAUUGAGAAGGUGGCUCGUCGGAUGCUGUCGCCAUGGAUGAUGACGGCGAUCUCGUUCUCUAUCGGAGAAUGAAGAGACACAGGAGAAGGGACAAGGAUCAUGUGCUCACCGUGCAGCACGGCGUCACCUCUUUGCUCCGGAGCGUCGGGCUUCUUGCUAGAGAGCAUUCAGUGUCGGAUUUCCUACUGUGUAUCAUCCUUCUUUCAUUUGUGGUCCAUUGUUUGCUGUUGUUGGUUUACAUGUUUGGAAGGCAGCCAUGCUGCUAACCUGACUUUGUGUUGCACAAGAGCUUCACGUCGUCUGAAUUCGACGGUGUUACUGCCAUGGAGAUCGGUGUUGGGACAGGUGAUGGCUUGUUAUGAAAUUUAGUGAAUGAGAAAAUUGCUCUAUUGUUGUGCUUGUACAACCGUGUAAUUUUUCUGAUUUUUAUUUGUUUUUGUGAAGGUCAAAAUGUUGUGUCCGAGAAGUUCAAGUAUGUUAGUUUAUAUUGUAUUAUUGAGAAGUUCCAA